AAGCGGACGGAUGACCAGAUCCAGAGUUGGAAGUUACCUUUGGUGAAACCCUCUACCCAGCCUGAAUCCUUCCAGGUUGUAGGACACUCACUACCUCUCAAAGCAUGUCAUUUCUUCUUCAUUAGAAAAUUCUUCUUCAUGCCACCUUUAAGCUGAAAUAUGACUUCCCUGUAAUAUUUCCCCUUCCUCGGUGAUCAUAGCUCUGCCUUCCAGGCCCAGAAAGAACAGGUCAAAUUUCUACCUCAUCUGACCACCUUCAUGCAAUAAAAGACAGAGCUCUGUGCACUUGGAGAGUUAAAGCCUCACCCCAAAUGCAUCUUCCCGGCAGAGAGACAGUCCUUUUGCAGUUAAAUCACACUGAAAAUCCUCAAGAGGAAUAUCUGUUUCUGGUUCAUUCCAGAGAUGCACUAAAUGGCAAGAACAUGGAGGCAACACAUGGACCCGAUGGAGUCUCCUUGUGGGAGGGGACUCCCAUCUUUGAAGAACAAGAACUAUUUAUCUAGGAAUAGAGAAAUCUCUGAGUGAGACACCACCUGUCUUGAAGAUGAUUCUAUGGCAGAGGAAGCCUUGUUUUGGGUCUAAGUCCAUAGUAUAUACGUUACAGCAAAGCAGAUUUCAACUCAAUUAUUUAAAAAAGACUGUAGAACUGCAAGUGCAUAAAAACUCAUAGAAUAGUAGUAACUGUAGGAAUCAUUACUAUUAGGCCCCAGCUUGAACUUCAUUGCCCCUUUGAAUUCAGGAAAUAAAUAAGCACAUGUACACAUACGCACACCCCAUAUGUCACACCAGGCAUUGUGGCGCCAUCCAUGACUGACACUAAACAUUCUAGAAGUAUUUCUGUUUUCAUGCAGAUACACACAGCACAGCUAGUUUCAAAAUUAAACCACAAUGAAAACUGUCACUACUGACAAGGAACUAUGCAAAGACCUUCGGUCUCAGGCCCUUGCUCACUCAGGAGUACCUUGAGACCUGUUUCUUCCUGUUCAGCUGCAGUCACGGUUCUAACCUGGUUCUUCUCACGGCUGGUAUCCUCUGACCUUUUAUGUCUUGGCAAUGACUUCCAUGCAUUUUGGCAGUGACUGCCUGAAUCUCUGAUUCAACCCUGAUCGCAGCCUCUCGGGCUUUCUCGCUCCUUUAAUUCUUUCCGCGGAUGGCCACGGCUUUUGCCGCCUGUACCCUUCCUGGAGCAACCCGUGCUUUUGAAAAAUGACCAUGCCGAAGGGGAACUAACACUCCCAGCCUGGUGCGGGUCUUGUCAAUCUGAUUUUUAAAUGAUGGAGGAGGAGGUUUGAGGACAAAGCUCAUGGUGGCAUUACCACUAUCAGGGACGCUGCAAAGAUCAAGUGAAAAGGGGAAAAGGCUCUUCUCAAUGUGAGCACAUUCACAGGCUCUGAGAACAGAGAGGUAUUUAAAGUGAACUGGAACAAACCUGCAACAUCCGGUGCGUUCUGCCUUCAAAAAUAGCUGCCAGUUAGAAAGGGUUAUUUACAUAUUGAUUUCAUGCUAACUUUGUAAUGGAAUGUGCUGCCUGCCUGCCUGCCUGAGACCUAACAACUGUCAUCAUAAUUUUUUCUAAAAAUACAGUCAGAGAAAAACACUCAUUGAACCCUCCACUGGAAAGUAGCUGCAAAAGACCCCCUGAUCCCAAACCUGCUUGACAGACCACAGCCAAGGGCAGGGACACUCAACAACUGUAAACGAGGAACAUUUCACAGCGGCAGCUGGCCCCUCUCUUCUUCCAACCAGCCAAUAUUUUUUGUCUUUCUAGAAAACCUGUCUUGUUCAAAGGCUGGAACUUACCAUUGGCUGUCCUGGUCCUCAGGCCUUCGGAGUCAGACUGGAACUACACCAUCGGCUUUCCAGGGUCCCCAGCUUGCCAACUGCAGACCUUGGAAUCAGCCUCAUAAUUGCAAAAACCAAUUUCUUAUCCAAAUAUUAGUAUAUAUAUGUAAUUUCUUACAAGAAAUUUAAGUAAACUUCAUAUGUAUAAUA
rnacentral:lncRNA from 1 species